UACUAGUCCUACCAGCCACUGUUUUCCUACAAUUGGUUGAAAAAAUGUGUUAAUUCCAUAAAAAACAAAACUUAAUAUAGUGAACGAUCCCGUUUCAGUGCCAUUGACCGUGAUGGAUGUCCAAUCCAUAUGACUGGGAGGGUGUUGGCCAGCCUUCCCAGUUUCAUGGAUCAGACGUUUUUUUUAAAAAAAAAUUUUGGCAUUUUUUUCAAACGCAAAAAUUAGGGCUGUCAAAAUCAUCGUGUUAACGGGCGUUAAUUUAAAUCACGUUAAAAUAUUUGACGCAUUUAACGCACAUGCCCCGCUCAGAUUAAAAUGACAGCAAAGUGUCAUUUCUGCUUGUUACUUGUUUUUUGGUUUUGCCGCCAUCUGCUGACGCUUGGGUGUGCCUGAUUUUAUGGGUUUCAGCACCAUAAUUAUUGACAUCAACAAUGGCGGGCUACUAGUUUUUUUUUUGAUUGAAAGUUUUACAAACUUUAUUAAAAUGAAAACAUUAAGAGGGGUUAUAAUUGAAAAUUUCUUUAACUUGUACAUUUAUCUUUUAAGAACUGCAAGUCUCUAUCCAUGGAUUGCUUUAACAAUGUUAAUGCCAUCUUGUUGAUUUAUUAUAAUAAAUACAGGACUUGUUUCCAUUCCAACAAUAAUUUACAGAAAAAUGGCAUAUUUUAUAGAUGGUUUGAAUUGCGAUUAAUCACAGCUUAAAAAUUAAUCUUAAUUAACUAUUAAAUUUUAAUGGUUUGACAACCCUAGUAAAAAUGUAUGAUUAGCCCAUUAAUAUUUGUGAAUAUCAUUGGUUUAAACCAUGAAUGAAAUGUAAAUCUCAAAAUGUUCCAAGAACAAUAUAAACAUAUUGAUGCAUAUACUUUUCCAGGAGCAUCAAUCUCUAAUGAUGCCGAACGCAACGGCGGGAUUGGUCCAACUCUCCCAGCUACUGUCGACCUGAUCUGGGGACAACUUCACUUCCAUCAAGGUUCCUUUUUGAACCGCUACCACCUCGGAGAACCUAGUGACAGGAGCCUCUUCCAUUUCCAAAACGGUCCAGGUUGGAUGGAUAGCGUCAACGGGAGUGUUGGUACAAGAGCAGAUUGAGCACAUCCAAGCCGCCAGCCUCAAGCAGGAGAAGCAAGUGUCCUCCUCCACAGACAGAGCGCGACGACACUGCAGCAAUCAAGGGAAUGUUAAGCUUUCAGUUUUCAUUUAAAAGAAAGAAAUCUCAGCUAUUGAAAUGUACUAGUCCUACCAGCCAUUGUUUUCCUACAAUUGGUUGAAAAAAUAGUGUGUUAAUUCCAUAAAAAAAACCCCAAAACUUAAUACAGUGAACGAUCCCAUUUCAGUGCCACUGACCGUGAUGGAUGUCCAAUCCAUAUGACUGGGAGGGUGUUGGCCAGCCUUCCCAGUUUCAUUGAUCGGACAUUUAAAAAAAAAAAAAAAAAAUUAAAUGCAAAAAUUAAGGCUGUCAAAAUUAUCGCGUUAACGGGCGUUAAUUUAAAUCUCGUUAAAAUAUUUGACUAACGCACAUGCUCCACUCAGAUUAAAAUGACUGCAAAGUGUCAUUUCCGCUUGUUACUUGUUUUUUGGCGAUUUUCCGCCCUCUGCUGGCGCUUGGGUGCGACUGAUUUUAUGGGUUUCAGCACCAUAAUUAUUGACAUCAACAAUGGCGAGCUAGUUUAUUUUUUGAUAAAUUUUACAAACUUUCUUAAAACGAAAACAUCAAGAGGGGUUUUAACAUAAAAUUCCUAUAACUUGUACUAACAUUUGUCUUUUAAGAACUAAGUCUAUCCAUGGAUUGCUUUAACAGAAUGUUAAUGCCAUUGUUUUGUUAUAAUACAAUACUUGUUUCCAUUCCAACAAUAAUUUACAGAAAAAUAUGGCAUAUUUUAUAGAUGGUUUGAAUUGCGGUUAAUUACAAUUUUUAAGCUGUGAUUAACUCGAUUAAGAAAUUUUCAUCAUUUGACAGCCCUAUUAAAAAUGUAUGAUUAGCCCAUUAAUAUUUGUGAAUAGCAUUAGUUUAAGUCAUGAAUGAAAUGCAAAUAAAGUAUCACAAAAUGUUCCAAGGACAAUAGAAACAUUGAUGCAUAUACUUUUCCAGGAGCAUCAAUCUCCAAUGAUGCCAAACGCAACGGCGGGAUCGGUCCAGCUCCCCCAGCUACCGUCGACCUGAUCUGGGGACAACUUCACUUAUAUCAAGGAGAACCUAGUGGUAGGAGCCUCUUCCCAUUUCCAAAACGGUCCAGGUUGGAUGGAUAGCAUCAACGGGAGUGCUGGUACAAGAGCAGAUUGAGCACGUCCAAGCAGCCAGCCUCAAGCAGGAGAAGCGAGUGUUGGUCUCCAAUGACGCCGAGCAAGAUGACACUGCAGCAAUCCAGGGAAUGUUAAGCUUUCAGUUGUCAUAUAAAACGGGGGGAGCACAAAUCUAAUAAGUACUAUUGCAAUGGCUUAAUCUAUGCAUUAGCUAUAAAAAAAAAAUGUUAAUGCCAUUAAAAAACUGCAAAAUGUUUAGUCAACGGUCCUGUUUCAGUGCCAUUGACGGCAGUCUGAUCCAAUUUAACUGGGAGGGGUCUGGCCAACCCUCCCAGUCAAAUGGAUCGGACGUCUUUUGCCAUCAGCGGUAUUUUUAUUAUAUAUUUUUUAAACAAAAGCUUAGAAUAAGUAGGACUUUUGACGGUCGUGGAAAUUUUACCAUAUUCUACCUAUUCGGGUUCAUAAGACAUGUUUUUCCAGGAGUGUUGGCCCAAGAGCAGAUUGAACAUGUCCGAGCUGUGAGCCUCAAGCAGGAGAAGCGAGAGUCAGUCUUUUGCUGUGAGGAAGAAAGGACGCGGAGUUCACCGGACAGAAUCUUCUCAACAAUGCGGCCUACUCAAGGAACUCACUAAUAGACAACAUUGCAUAAGGGCCAUGCAAUUAAUAACUUUUGGGAAGAUAAUUCAUGUGAAA